rnacentral:rRNA from 1 species
CCCUUAGGUCUGGCAUAACCCCGGGAAACUGGGGAUAAUUCCGGAUAGAUCAUCGAUGCUGGAAUGCGCUUUGAUCCAAAGCUAUUGUGCCUAAGGAUGGGUCUGCGGUCUAUCAGGUCGUAGUGGGUGUAAUGUACCUACUAGCCUACGACGGAUACGGGUUGUGGGAGCAAGAGCCCGGAGAUGGAUUCUGAGACAUGAAUCCAGGCCCUACGGGGCGCAGCAGGCGCGAAAACUUUACAAUGCGGGGAACCGCGAUAAGGGGACACCGAGUGCCAGCAUCCUAUGUUGGCUGUCCAUAUGUCUAAAUCACAUGUGUUAGAAAGAGCCGGGCAAGACCGGUGCCAGCCGCCGCGGUAAUACCGGCGGCUCGAGUGGUGGCCACUAUUACUGGGCUUAAAGCGUCCGUAGCUUGGUUGUUAAGUCUCCUGGGAAAUCCAUCGGCUCAACCGAUGGGCGUUCAGGAGAUACUGGCAACCUAGGGACCGGGAGAGGUGAGAGGUACUCCAGGGGUAGGAGUGAAAUCCUGUAAUCCUUGGGGGACCACCUGUGGCGAAGGCGUCUCACUAGAACGGCUCCGACAGUGAGGGACGAAAGCUGGGGGAGCAAACCGGAUUAGAUACCCGGGUAGUCCCAGCUGUAAACGAUGCGCGUUAGGUGUAUCGGUGACCACGAGUCACCGAGGUGCCGAAGGGAAACCGUGAAACGUGCCGCCUGGGAAGUACGGUCGCAAGGCUGAAACUUAA